AUCUCCCCGCCGGCUGCCGACCCCAGGGGAAGCUAGAGAAACAGGCCCUUCCGCAGUGACCACCUGGACGCCCUUGAGCCCGCCCCAGGCCCCACCUCUGGAUCCGCCUCCGGCUCCGCCCCGUCGCUGAGCGGAACCGAAGCGGGGCCUGGGUUACAAGAGCAGCCAUCCGAUGACCAGCCUCCUCUGUCACCUGUUGGUAUUGGGAAGAGUAUCUGUCCAAUCAGCAAGGCCGUGGUCUCAAUGAUUGCCACUUCCUCCCCUGUCCCCGCCCCUGCCCACUCAAGACUGAAAUAGGUACGACUGGAACCUACCAUUUCUGCCCAAGUCCCAAAAUACACAUCUCACGGUUAAGUCAUCCUGCAGUGGAAAGGUCAAGUCUGACAGACGUGGUUUGCGCAAGCGUUAUCUGGUCCAUGAAGAGACCAGACAGACCUCUCGCACCUGGCUUGGCUUGACGUGCUUUAAGGUUAGGCUCCAAGCUGCCCAAGGACAGAGUCUUUUCCAUCUGGGACACUUGGUUCUCAAGAUCAGAAUCACUGAUGCUGCUGGUAUAAACAACUUCUGUAACAGAGAGCCAAAUCAUU